rnacentral:tRNA from 4 species
GGAAAGGUGGCCGAGUGGUCUAUGGCGCACGCUUGGAAAGCGUGUGUGGGGAAACUCACCGUGGGUUCAAAUCCCACCCUUUCCG